rnacentral:snRNA from 1 species
GUGCUCGCUUCGGCAGCACAUAUACUAAAAUUGGAACGAUACAGAGAAGAUUAGCAUGGCCCCUGCGCAAGAAUGACAUGCAGGAAAAAAAAAAAAGAAGAAGAAAAU